rnacentral:lncRNA from 1 species
AUGCGCCAGCAGGUGCUUGCGCAGAUAGGCCUGGCGGCGGAACUUCUUGGCGCAGUGGUGGCACUCGUAGAGCCCGUCCUCGGAGCCCGACUCGGACACGCCGCCGGGGCUCGGCGUGUCGCGGUCGCUGCCGCCGCCGCCGCCGCCUGUCGCGUCCCGCGCCUCGGCCCUGGCGGCGGUGUCAGGCUCGGACGCGCGGGCGGCGGCGGGCGCAGGCCGCGGCUUGUGCCAGCGGCGGUGCGAGGCCAGGUUGGCCGGGCAGCUGAAGACCUUGGCGCACUCGGGGCAGCGGUACUCCACGCGCACGAUGCGCGAGCACUUGUGCUGCGCCAGCGCGAACGGGUCGGCGUACUCCUCCUUGCAGAGCUGGCAGAUGAACUCGCCCAGCGGCCGCGCGGCGCCCCCCGUCCGGCCCCGUGGCGCCUCCACCGGGCCCUCCUUGAUCUUGAGCCCGAGCACAGGCGACGUGGUCACCUCGUCCUCGAAGUGCAGCUUGCGGAUGGCCUUGGGCUUCUUGGCGCCCGGGGCCUUGGCCACCUUGGCGGGCGGCUCGGCGGCGGCGGCGGCGGCGGCGGCGGGGGGCGCGGGCCGCUUGCCCGGGGGCCGCAGGGAGGCGGCGGGGGGCAGCGGCGGGCCGGGCCCGGGGCCGCGGGCCGCUUCGGCGCCCGCGGAGAACGCGGUGCCCAUCUUGAGCUCGGCGGGCGCGAAGAGCAGCGGGUCGCCGCCGCAGGUGCCGCCGCCGCAGGUGCCGCCGCCGCCCGGGCCGUUCGCGCCGCCGCCAACGCCGCCGCCUCCGAGCAGGGCGGCGGGCGUGGGGAAGGACUCGGCCGAGACCGGCGACCCGAGGUUGAAGCUGCGCUCGAAGUACUUGUGCUUCUCGUGCUCGCGGCUCACGGGCCGCGUGGGGCUGUAGAGCGGCGCCGGGUGCGCGGCCUCGGGGUUGCCGAAGUGCGCGGCCCGCGGGCCCGGCGGGGGCGGGGCGGGGGCGGGGGCGGGGGCGGCGGGCCCGGCGCGCAGGCGAGCGCGGCAGCGAGCACCGCAUGGGCGCGCUCGGCGGGCGGCGGCGGCGGCGGCGGCGGCGGAGGCGGCGGCAGCGGGCCCGGCCCCGGCCCCGGCCCCGGCCCCGGCCCCGGGCUCGGCGCGGGGGGCUCGGCGCGGGCGCCCCCGCAGCCCGGCGACAGCAGCGGCGCGCGGUCGCCGUCCUCGCCGCCGCGGACCCGGUAG